rnacentral:rRNA from 1 species
CCCUUAGAUGUUCUGGGCUGCACGCGUGUUACACUGAAGUGGUCAGCGCGCCGUUCAACGUCCCACUCCGUGAGGAGCGGGCAAACGUUUGAACCCUUUUCGUGAUGGGAAUUGGGGGUUGCAAUUGUCCCCCAUGAACGAGGAAUUCCAAGUAAGCGCAGGUCACUAGCCUGCGUUGAUUAAGUCCCUGCCCUUUGUACACACCGCCCGUCGCUACUACCGAUUGGAUGGUUUAGUGAGAUCCUCGGAUUGGUCCCGGAGCGGCCUCUGGUCGUGCCGGAGUGCCGAAAAGAAUGUCGAACUUGAUCAUCUAGAGGAAGUAAAAGUCGUAACA